rnacentral:lncRNA from 1 species
AGUAGAGUGAGGGUGUGCAACGUUUGCUCCCUGGACCUCCAGUUUGGUGCGCCAAGAACUCGGGAGUUUAUGAAGAUUGCCGGAUUUUUAUACAAAUUUUGAGCUAUGUUAGCAUCGACACAAGAAUUUUGAAAUUUCUCCAAGUUGUUGCAAUUAAACAUGUGAUUUGUGAACGAUUAGCUUUAAGGAAACUUAAAACUUUUCAGUGUUUUGAAGAAAUUAUACGGCAAAACGAACGGGAACGAUACAUGGGCUUCAUAAAUUCCAGCUUGUAAUGUGGAUUGUGGAAUGAUUGCACGAAGUCGAUGAGAUACCCUGAGUGUAUAGGACGUGUAAGAAGACAUCGCGUGUCCCGAGCGCUGCUCGAGUGGACCCGCAACGAAUCCACAGCAACUGAGUGAUAUCUGGGACACGGCAACUCAUAGACAUUCUUUAUUGUCCUUCAUGGCAGUUUCGCGUCUUUCUCGCUUCGUCUCUAAAUCUAUCUUUUAACAUCUUGGAGUUUGAGUUGUACUCAUUUUGCUUCUAUCAACUAAUUUUGGAUUGAAACACUUUCCCUUGUAAUCGUGUCUUCCUUAUCAUCUCGACAGCCUCAUAGUCUUCCAAAUCAUCCCUUUCCUCUCUUACAAUCUCUCUCGGUAUUCUUGCACUUGUUCUCAUUAAAUCUUUUCACUACUCUCAUGCUCCCGCUCGCUACUUAUACUUCUACUUCUCGUUACUUAUACUUACAUUAUCUUCAUACACGGAGCAAGACGCUACACACUCACCAACACUGACCAUGAACUCGGAGAAACAGAAACAAACGAGUGUGUGUUAAGCAAAUCACCGAUAAUAUCGCCGCUCGUAAUGUGUUCAUUAUAGCGUCGAGACUAGACACCUCCACUCCCAGGCCAGUCAUGCAUGGGAAACUCAUUUGUGUUCUUUGUUCUGGCACUUACAACGUGUUCAGUGAACCUAGUCACAUUAGCAACGCGUAAGUCUCUUUGCAAUGUGAAAUAUAUACGUAUGCACUACACUUACACAGCAAUGGAUAAGUCAAAGUUUUCAUCUAACACUUUUAUAAUAAAAAGAAGGAAACUGUGGCACAGUGAGAAAUUUACUGGGAAGUCGUUUUAUUCUUCCAUUGCUUCUACAAGAUUGUUUAAUUCAGCCUACCAUUUCCUAUUGGUGAUUUUCUUCAUCGCUGCUCCAAUACUGGCCUCUCCGCACAACGAUGGCCCCAAGGACCCGUUUGUGGGGGACGGGUCGGCAAACAAGUCCCCCGACAGCCCCUACUUCACCCUGCACCCCACCAACGCCUACAUCAU